UUUGGAUUACACAAAAACGAUGCC
rnacentral:siRNA from 1 species